UACGUAGGGGGCAACCGUUGUCCGGAUUUACUGGGGGUAAAGGGUGCUCAGGCGGUUUUGUAAGUCAGAAGUGAAAUCCUAGAGCUUAACUCUGGAACUGCUUUUGAUACUGCAAAGCUUGAAUGUGGAAGAGGAGGAUGGAAUUUCUGGUGUAGCAGUGAAAUGCGUAGAUAUCAGAAAGAACACCAGUGGCGAAGGCGAUCCUCUGGUCCAUUAUUGACGCUAAAGCACGAAAGCGUGGGGAGCAAACAGG
rnacentral:rRNA from 1 species